AUUGAACGCUGGCGGCAUGCCUUACACAUGCAAGUCGAACGGCAGCACGGGAGCAAUCCUGGUGGCGAGUGGCGAACGGGUGAGUAAAGUAUCGGAACGUGCCCAGUCGUGGGGGAUAACGUAGCGAAAGUUACGCUAAUACCGCAUACGAUCUAUGGAUGAAAGCGGGGGAUCGCAAGACCUCGCGCGAUUGGAGCGGCCGAUAUCAGAUUAGGUAGUUGGUGGGGUAAAGGCUCACCAAGCCGACGAUCUGUAGCUGGUCUAAGAGGACGACCAGCCAACCUGGGACUGAGACACGGCCCAUACUCCUACGGGAGGCAGCAGUGGGGAAUUUUGGACAAUGGGCGAAAGCCUGAUCCAGCCAUUCCGCGUGCAGGAUGAAGGCCCUCGGGUUGUAAACUGCUUUUGUACAGAACGAAAAGGUUUCUACUAAUACUAGGAGCUCAUGACGGUACUGUAAGAAUAAGCACCGGCUAACUACGUGCCAGCCGCCGCAGUAA
rnacentral:rRNA from 1 species